rnacentral:rRNA from 1 species
AUGGCGGGCACCGCAGCCGCGUACCGGAGGGUCAUGAAGGCAGUGCAGAAGCACGUCGGCGGGGGCGCCGAUAAGAAGCACUUCCGCGAGUUCGUGGCCGCCGAGUUCCGCAGCCCGGCCGGCACGGAGGCCGACGCCAGAGCGAGACUGCGGCUCGCCGGGGACUACGCCUACCAUCUCACAAGCAUCCAACACCAGAAGGAACUGCUAUUCUCGUACAAUAUAGCCGUGGAUCGAUCUGAUGAAAUGAAGAAGAUAUUGAACAAAUCUGCUGCCAGUGUAGGCCUUCAGCUUCCAGAUGUCUACCAGCCUUGA